rnacentral:rRNA from 1 species
GGUGAACGCUGGCGGCGUGCCUAAUACAUGCAAGUCGAGCGAACAGAUAAGGAGCUUGCUCCUUUGACGUUAGCGGCGGACGGGUGAGUAACACGUGGGUAACCUACCUAUAAGACUGGAAUAACUCCGGGAAACCGGGGCUAAUGCCGGAUAACAUUUAGAACCGCAUGGUUCUAAAGUGAAAGAUGGUUUUGCUAUCACUUAUAGAUGGACCCGCGCCGUAUUAGCUAGUUGGUAAGGUAACGGCUUACCAAGGCAACGAUACGUAGCCGACCUGAGAGGGGGUAGGCCCCCACGGGAAUUGCGCCCCGUCCGAGACCCCACCGGGAGGAGACAAUGGGGAAUCCCCGGAAAGGGGGAAAGCCCGAAGGGACAACCGCCGGGUGGGGAAGAAGGUUCUUGGAAUCUAAAACCUCUUUUAUAGGGAAAAAAAAAUUUGGUAAGCACCUGUGCCCGUCUGGAGGGAACCAAAUAAAAAAGCCACGGCUAACACGGGC